rnacentral:rRNA from 1 species
UUCCGCCUAAAGAGAAGCUUGCGGCUGAUUARCUUGUUGAAGGUAAUGGCUUACCAAGGCGACGAUCAGUAUCUGGUUUGAGAGGACGAUUAGACAYACUGGAACUGAGACACGGUCCAGACUCYUACGGGAGGCAUYAGUGGGGAAUUUUCCGCAAUGGGCGAAAGCCUGACGGAGCAAUACCCGYGUGAGGGAUGAAUGCCUAUGGGUUGUAAACUYUCUUUUUUYAGGGAGGAACAAAAUGACGUGUACCUGAAGAAUAAGCAUCGGUUAACUCCGUGCCAGCAGCCGCGGUAAGACGGAGGAUGCAAGUGUUAUYCGGAAUCACUGGGCGUAAAGCGUUUGUAGUUGGUUUAAUAAGUCAAACUUGCUAAAAUCUUGAGGYUUUAACCCUUGAUGUAGUC